GCAAACUCACUAUAUAAGCAAAGCCAUAAAUGGCAUCUUAACAGUUGAUGAAUUAGACUAUCUUCCAGAAAAUGCUUUGUGUCACCUUAGUUGUUACUUUCGUAGUUUUGUGCUUGCUUCAGGCGGUAUCGGCUGAUUAUAUGAUUUUGGCAAACAGGAGCGGUAAUCCAAUAGAUCCAUUUCUAGGCACUCUAUUCUCUGUACUAACCCCUCCACUCGGGACUGCAGGGUAGGUUAAUAACAAAAUGUUUGUUAAUUAUUUGCUUCAAAUUGUAACAAUGAUACAAAUGGAGUGAUGUAAAUAAAGUUCUUGGCAACCUAA